GACAGGUGCUGCAUGGCUGUCGUCAGCUCGUGUCGUGAGAUGUUGGGUUAAGUCCCCAACGAGCGCAACCCUUGCCCUUAGUUGCCAGCAGUUCGGCUGGGCACUCUAGGGGGACUGCCGGUGACAAGCCGGAGGAAGGUGGGGAUGACGUCAAGUCCUCAUGGCCUUUAUAUCCAGGGCUACACACGUGUUACAAUGGGGGUUACAAUGGGCAGCGAAACGGUGACGUGGAGCGAAUCCCAAAAAAGCCCUCUCAGUUCGGAUCGCAGUCUGCAACUCGACUGCGUGAAGCUGGAAUCGCUAGUAAUCGCGGCUCAGCACGCCGCGGUGAAUACGUUCCCGGG
rnacentral:rRNA from 1 species